AAUUAUUCUGCAAUCUUCCUGGUCCUGCCAUUAAUUUAUUUAAGGUCCUGGAAGAAUACUUAAAUUGGUCUCAAGUUCCAUCAGCAAGAUGGGACGACUCCAUUGAAAAGAAACAUAAUAUAUGGAAAAAUUACUAGAAAAUCUAGGAAAACUGACUGAAUGCUUUGGAAAGACACAGUCAAGAUUAACAUGCUGAGACUCGGGAGGUGGUGAUUUGCCUAGGGACACAGAAAAGACAUAAACAACUUUACUUCAUGAACUAGAUGAUAAUGCUGUACAGAGCACACAGCUGGAAUUCAGUAACCAUUGCAUUAAAACCAUUUUUUAAAG